rnacentral:sRNA from 1 species
ACGCAAGCAGCAAGAAGGGCAACAUUAACCCCAAUCCUAUCCUGCCAAUAAAGCCCUUCCUUUCUUCCUCGUCUCCAGCGGCCGCUUCCUCGACCGUACCCUCCUCAGGAUCAUGGAGAUGAAGAAGAUUGCCUGCGCCGUCCUUGUCGCUGCCUCGGCCACCGUGGCCCUCGCCGUCGAGGCGCCCGCCCCUGCCCCCACCAGCGCCGCCGCCACCUCGGCCGCCUUCCCGGCGGUCGGCGCGGUGAUCGGCGCCUCCAUGCUGUCCUUCUUCGCCUACUACCUACAGUAAGGAAGGGAGGAAUGAUGAAGGUGUUGCGUGAGUGUGGGUGUGGAGGGGAGGAGAGGACAUUUGGUUUGAUAUGUGUUCGUUAUCGUUCAUGUUAUAAUUAAGUGUCUAAAUGUGGUUUUUGUUUGGAUUUGAUUGACAAUGUUGAUCCAUUAGUCCAUUCAUUUAAUUUGCUCGCCUUUUCUUCCCCUCGUGUGUUCAUUUGCUAAUUACAUUUGUAAAGAGGGGAAAAUGAGGUGGCAUUACUAUUAUUUUUUAUAAUAUGAUAAUUGGAUAUU